UAAAAAUUGAGCCGGCGUCACUAACGUUCUGAAUUGUAAAAAGAGCAAAAAAGAAACAAAACGCACCGUCUUAGGAUCCGUGACUGUCUCAUAAGCCGGUGACCAAAUCGACUAUUAACUGUAAACCGGGGCCAUUUUAGUUGCUGCUAAUCGCUCUCUGCUUCUGAAGGGAGGAAACUCUUGUCAAAUCCAAUGGCCGCCAUAUUAGCUCGGAAAUCUCUCUCUGCUCUUCGCUCUCGUCAGCUUGU
rnacentral:lncRNA from 1 species